rnacentral:lncRNA from 1 species
CAAUAUCUUUAAUAAGGAAAAGUUACACUACCAUACAUUAGGCUGGCAAGAUGUGGCUUAUCAGGUAAAGGUGCUUGCCACACAAGUCUGGGGACCUGAAUAUGACCCUUGGAAUCUAUAUAAGGUGGAAGCAGAGAGCCCACUCACCAAGUUGUCCUCUAACCUCUGCAUGUACCACGGCAUGUGAUCCCCACUCCAAUAAUAAUAAUAAAGAUUUAGAAAAUGUACUCUACUGACAUUUCUAUGUGGUCAUUAAAGAGAGAAAUAGAAUUUAUAUAUGGAUUGGUUCUUAAGACAUUUCACAUAAAUUUUAUUCAAGUCUUGCAGGACAAAAUGUGCCUCUUGUUUCACAAGAACAGGAGAAAUCCAAGGGCCUGGUGCAGAGCCCCAGUUCCUGCUGUGAGAUGUCCAGGACACUAUAAACCCCAGGCUGUUAGCCACGAACAAAUGCUAGUCUUGUGUGUUGGCCUCCACCGUUUUCUGCCAGCCUGUGGAAGAGGAAGCAGGGCUUCAGGAGGGGCUUCUCAGGAGAGGGGAAGAAACAAAACCCCUGAAUCCAGGUAAGUGGGAACCAUCCCAAUAAACUCAUUGUGAUUAUUUAAAAAAGAAAAAAA